rnacentral:lncRNA from 1 species
AGACCAAAAAAAAAAAUUUCCAAGAAAAAAAUUCCAGCACCUUAAAAUGCUUUAAUAUUACAGGUGUGAUUCCAGUAUUUCUUUCCCCACUUCCUGCCUUGAACAAUGAAAUAUCGCCAAAGUGCCAGUCUUCCAAUUUGGAGAAAGAUCAGUACUCCAAAGCUUGGAUGGCAGGGAAUCUUUCCCACGAGUGUUCUCACCAGAAGUGAAAUCUCAAGUAUGUUCAUUGCAGAGUUCAUAUCCAAACUCAGUCAUAAAAGGUAGGUAGCUAUAACUUUAAGUCCAGCCCCACAGAUGAAUCAUAUAAC